UCCACCAGUUUAGAGAUUUCUGGGGGAAAAAGGGAAGUGGAGGUUUUCCAGGCAGAUCCAGGAGCCUCGGAGUCGGAUGUUCCUUCCGCUGCAGGAGCAAACAGGAAGCUGCGACUGUGGCCGCGCUGAAGGUGUCGGGUGUGCGAGCUGCGGCUGGAAAUAGAAAGCACAUGAAUCACAUUUGGUUUGUUCUGUAAUUGCAGCCUUCGCGUUCAGAGGGAGAGAGGGAGAAGCGACGUGCAGCCAUCUGGAGCGCUCGUCCUCCAACCGAGUGGAGGACGCAGGAAUUAUCACGAUAUGAUCGUUCGCAGGGAGGAUUCGCAGAAUUAGUCACCGCCGGUGGAAACAUGUGACACGUCUGACAAAGGAACAACUCGCUGCCACUUAAUUAACAUGGAGCUCAGAGUCAAAGUUUGUGCCGACGGGAUGUUUUAUUCCUCCACACGUCAGAAAACACCGUGAGCAGCUGUAAUAAAUCCAUUUUCACCAAGUUUUCAGCAGUAAAAUGUUAUAAAUCAGCCCCUCAACAAAACAAACCCUCAGAAAAACCCUUCAGAAUAUAAGGAGGAAUAAAACUGGAAAGUUUGGUGAAUUCUCCUCAGGCUGUGACCUCCGGGAUGUUGUUCACGACGGAGGGGAAGAUGGCGUGCGCGGUGGACAGGUGGGUCGCCCCACUCGGCCGGCGACAUCCACAACACGAGCCCAGAUAAGAAGAAGAUGAUAUGAUGAGCUGAUAUUUGAAAAUCUUCAGAAAGUGUAAACAGAUGACAGAAGACGGAGAGAGACGCUGAUGUCCGCCGACCGCCGAUCGAUGGGCGAGCCGGGGAGUCUGACUUCCUCUGGUCCCGCCCUCCCUAACCUGCCUCGCCACUGGUCACCGGGUCCAUCGCUCAACGUGGCUGACGGCCGCGGUGGCCCCUCGUCCUCCUGAUCGAUGCCAUGGAUUUUCUCCUCCUCUCAGACAGAUAUUAUGACAUCUGAUGGUGAGGUGGUUAAUGUUGUGCUAUCGCAGAUAAACACACACACACACACACAGUGAAGAGCAGAUCAAUCCUUGUCUUAUCACAGUCGUCGUUCAAUAAAGCUCCGAAUGGAAGAUGAAUUCAUGAGGGAGGAGACGCAUUGAUUGUUUCCAAACACAGGGACUCCGCCUGGGAAUCAGGCAACUGGGACAAUUUAAGUUUAAUUGAAGUUUCACAGCCUCUGUUUUCUUUAGUUUUCUGUAAAUCUCACACUGUGUCUUUAAAAGAGACGUUUUCUGAUCAUAUCCAGGUUGAUGAUAAAUUAAACAUUUAGCUACAGGUUGAACGCCAUGUUUUCCUUAAACAUUUAAUUACAUAUAAAUUAGUGUUUUGCUCAGUGAACUGAACGCAGCCCUGGUUUUUGUAUUAUAUUUUUGCAACACAAGUUUGAUUAAUAAACCUGGUGAAUCUACAGAGUCACAGUGAAUCCACUGAUGUGUUUGCAUCAGUUUCAUCACUGGAGAAUAGAUCCCGCUGACGGGACGUGAGGUCGGACUCUGACUUCCUGUUGCUCACACACUGUUUCUCAAGUGUUUCCUGCACAUUCAAUUAUUCAUCAGUUGGUUCUAAUGAAGAUUUAAGACAGAGACUGAUGAUCUGAUAAUUACUGUGGUCGUGUGAAGAGAAUCCACAAUAACAUGACUUGUACUCUUUUACAGUAUUUAUAUAUAAAGGAAAACAUAUU